rnacentral:rRNA from 1 species
UUGGAGGGAGUCUGGUGCCAGCAGCCGCGGUAAUUCCAGCUCCAAUAGCGUAUAUUAAAGUUGUUGCAGUUAAAAAGCUCGUAGUUGAACUUCAGACCUGACCGGGCGGUCCGCCUAACGGUGUGUACUGUCUGGCCGGGCCUUACCUCUUGGUGAGCCGGCAUGCCCUUCACUGGGUGCGUCGGGGAACCAGGACCUUUACCUUGAGAAAAUUAGAGUGUUCAAAGCGGGCUUACGCCGGAAUACAUUAGCAUGGAAUAAUAAAAUAGGACGUGCGGUUCUUA